rnacentral:rRNA from 1 species
GACGAACGCUGGCGGCGUGCUUAACACAUGCAAGUCGAACGAUGAAGCCCAGCUUGCUGGGUGGAUUAGUGGCGAACGGGUGAGUAACACGUGGGCAACCUGCCCCAAACUCUGGGAUAACUCCUCGAAAGAGGUGCUAAUACCGGAUACGAACUAGACAGACAUCUGUACUAGUUGGAAAGUUUUUCGGUUUGGGAUGGGCCCGCGGCCUAUCAGCUUGUUGGUGAGGUAACGGCUCACCAAGGCUACGACGGGUAACCGGCCUGAGAGGGCAGCCGGUCACACUGGGACUGAGACACGGCCCAGACUCCUACGGGAGGCAGCAGUGGGGAAUAUUGCGCAAUGGGCGAAAGCCUGACGCAGCGACGCCGCGUGAGGGAUGAAGGUCUUCGGAUCGUAAACCUCUUUCAGUAGGGACGAAGCGAAAGUGACGGUACCUAAAGAAGAAGCACCGGCUAACUACGUGCCAGCAGCCGCGGUAA